rnacentral:rRNA from 1 species
AUUGAACGCUGGCGGCAGGCCUAACACAUGCAAGUCGAGCGGCAGCGGGAAAGUAGCUUGCUACUUUUGCCGGCGAGCGGCGGACGGGUGAGUAAUGCCUGGGAAAUUGCCCAGUCGAGGGGGAUAACAGUUGGAAACGACUGCUAAUACCGCAUACGCCCUACGGGGGAAAGCAGGGGACCUUCGGGCCUUGCGCGAUUGGAUAUGCCCAGGUGGGAUUAGCUAGUUGGUGAGGUAAUGGCUCACCAAGGCGACGAUCCCUAGCUGGUCUGAGAGGAUGAUCAGCCACACUGGAACUGAGACACGGUCCAGACUCCUACGGGAGGCAGCAGUGGGGAAUAUUGCACAAUGGGGGAAACCCUGAUGCAGCCAUGCCGCGUGUGUGAAGAAGGCCUUCGGGUUGUAAAGCACUUUCAGCGAGGAGGGAAGGUCAGUAGCUAAUAUCUGCUGGCUGUGACGUUACUCGCAGAAGAAGCACCGGCUAACUCCGUGCCAGCCGCCGCCGUAAUAC